UAACUAGGGACAGGGCAGUUU
rnacentral:piRNA from 1 species